rnacentral:rRNA from 1 species
GCGGCAGGCCUAACACAUGCAAGUCGAGCGUUUGCACAGAGAGCUUGCUCUCGGGUGACGAGCGGCGGACGGGUGAGUAAUGUCUGGGAAACUGCCUGAUGGAGGGGGAUAACUACUGGAAACGGUAGCUAAUACCGCAUAACGUCGCAAGACCAAAGUGGGGGACCUUCGGGCCUCAUGCCAUCAGAUGUGCCCAGAUGGGAUUAGCUAGUAGGUGGGGUAACGGCUCACCUAGGCGACGAUCCCUAGCUGGUCUGAGAGGAUGACCAGCCACACUGGAACUGAGACACGGUCCAGACUCCUACGGGAGGCAGCAGUGGGGAAUAUUGCACAAUGGGCGCAAGCCUGAUGCAGCCAUGCCGCGUGUGUGAAGAAGGCCUUCGGGUUGUAAAGCACUUUCAGCGGGGAGGAAGGCGUUAAGGUUAAUAACCUUGGCGAUUGACGUUACCCGCAGAAGAAGCACCGGCUAACUCCGUGCCAGCAGCCGCGGUAAUACGGAGGGUGCAAGCGUUAAUCGGAAUUACUGGGCGUAAAGCGCACGCAGGCGGUCUGUCAAGUCGGAUGUGAAAUCCCCGGGCUCAACCUGGGAACUGCAUUCGAAACUGGCAGGCUAGAGUCUUGUAGAGGGGGGUAGAAUUCCAGGUGUAGCGGUGAAAUGCGUAGAGAUCUGGAGGAAUACCGGUGGCGAAGGCGGCCCCCUGGACAAAGACUGACGCUCAGGUGCGAAAGCGUGGGGAGCAAACAGGAUUAGAUACCCUGGUAGUCCACGCCGUAAACGAUGUCGAUUUGGAGGUUGUGCCCUUGAGGCGUGGCUUCCGGAGCUAACGCGUUAAAUCGACCGCCUGGGGAGUACGGCCGCAAGGUUAAAACUCAAAUGAAUUGACGGGGGCCCGCACAAGCGGUGGAGCAUGUGGUUUAAUUCGAUGCAACGCGAAGAACCUUACCUGGUCUUGACAUCCACAGAACUUUCCAGAGAUGGAUUGGUGCCUUCGGGAACUGUGAGACAGGUGCUGCAUGGCUGUCGUCAGCUCGUGUUGUGAAAUGUUGGGUUAAGUCCCGCAACGAGCGCAACCCUUAUCCUUUGUUGCCAGCGGUUAGGCCGGGAACUCAAAGGAGACUGCCAGUGAUAAACUGGAGGAAGGUGGGGAUGACGUCAAGUCAUCAUGGCCCUUACGACCAGGGCUACACACGUGCUACAAUGGCAUAUACAAAGAGAAGCGACCUCGCGAGAGCAAGCGGACCUCAUAAAGUAUGUCGUAGUCCGGAUUGGAGUCUGCAACUCGACUCCAUGAAGUCGGAAUCGCUAGUAAUCGUAGAUCAGAAUGCUACGGUGAAUACGUUCCCGGGCCUUGUACACACCGCCCGUCACACCAUGGGAGUGGGUUGCAAAAGAAGUA